rnacentral:rRNA from 1 species
CUAGAGUAUGUCAGAGGGGGGUAGAAUUCCACGUGUAGCAGUGAAAUGCGUAGAGAUGUGGAGGAAUACCGAUGGCGAAGGCAGCCCCCUGGGAUAAUACUGACGUUCAUGCUCGAAAGCGUGGGUAGCAAACAGGAUUAGAUACCCUGGUAGUCCACGCCCUAAACGAUGUCAAUUAGCUGUUGGGCAACUUGAUUGCUUAGUAGCGUAGCUAACGCGUGAAAUUGACCGCCUGGGGAGUACGGUCGCAAGAUUAAAACUCAAAGGAAUUGACGGGGACCCGCACAAGCGGUGGAUGAUGUGGAUUAAUUCGAUGCAACGCGAAGAACCUUACCUGGUCUUGACAUGUACGGAAUCCUCCGGAGACGGAGGAGUGCCUUCGGGAGCCGUAACACAGGUGCUGCAUGGCUGUCGUCAGCUCGUGUCGUGAGAUGUUGGGUUAAGUCCCGCAACGAGCGCAACCCUUGUCAUUAGUUGCCAUCAUUAAGUUGGGCACUCUAAUGAGACUGCCGGUGACAAACCGGAGGAAGGUGGGGAUGACGUCAAGUCCUCAUGGCCCUUAUGACCAGGGCUUCACACGUCAUACAAUGGUCGGUACAGAGGGUAGCCAAGCCGCGAGGUGGAGCCAAUCUCACAAAACCGAUCGUAGUCCGGAUUGCACUCUGCAACUCGAGUGCAUGAAGUCGGAAUCGCUAGUAAUCGCAGGUCAGCAUACUGCGGUGAAUACGUUCCCGGGUCUUGUACACACCGCCCGUCACACCAUGGGAGUGGGGGAUACCAGAAGUAGGUAGGGUAACCGCAAGGAGCCCGCUUACCACGGUAUGCUUCAUGACUGGGGUGAAGUCGUAACAAGGUA